rnacentral:rRNA from 1 species
CGUAGGUGGCAAGCGUUGUCCGGAUUUACUGGGCGUAAAGAGCGCGCAGGCGGUCGUUCAAGUCGCGUGUGAAAGCCCCCGGCUCAACUGGGGAGGGUCACGCGAUACUGAUCGACUCGAAGGCAGGAGAGGGUAGUGGAAUUCCCGGUGUAGUGGUGAAAUGCGUAGAUAUAGGGAGGAACACCAGUGGCGAAAGCGACUACCUGGCCUGUUCUUGACGCUGAGGCGCGAAAGCUAGGGGAGCAAACGGGAUUAGAUACCCCGGUAGUCCUAGCCGUAAACGAUGGACACUAGGUGUUGGUGGUAUCAACCCCGCCAGUGCCGAAGCUAACGCAUUAAGUGUCCCGCCUGGGGAGUACGGCCGCAAGGCUA